rnacentral:rRNA from 1 species
UACCGGGUGGCGACCGGCGCACGGGUGAGUAACACGUAUCCAACCUGCCCUUUACUCGGGGAUAGCCUUUCGAAAGAAAGAUUAAUACCCGAUAGCAUAAUGAUUCCGCAUGGUUUCAUUAUUAAAGGAUUCCGGUAAAGGAUGGGGAUGCGUUCCAUUAGGUUGUUGGUGAGGUAACGGCUCACCAAGCCUUCGAUGGAUAGGGGUUCUGAGAGGAAGGUCCCCCACAUUGGAACUGAGACACGGUCCAA